rnacentral:tRNA from 2 species
CCCUGGUUAGCUCAGCUGGUAGUACGCUCCACUAGAAAUAGAGAGGUCCCGGGUUCAAUUCCCGGACCAGGCC